CCUACGGGAGGCAGCAGUGAGGAAUAUUGGUCAAUGGGCGUAAGCCUGAACCAGCCAAGUCGCGUGAGGGAUGAAGGUUCUAUGGAUCGUAAACCUCUUUUAUAAGGGAAUAAAGUGUGGGACGUGUCCUAUUUUGUAUGUACCUUAUGAAUAAGGAUCGGCUAACUCCGUGCCAGCAGCCGCGGUAAUACGGAGGAUACGAGCGUUAUCCGGAUUUAUUGGGUUUCAAGGGUGCGUAGGCGGCCUUUUAAGUCAGCGGUGAAAAUCUGUGGCUCAACCCUAGAACUGCCGUUGAAACUGGGGGGCGUGAGUUGGUUAGAGGCAGGCGGAAUGCGGGGGGUAGCGGUGAAAUGCUUAGAUAUCACGCAGAACCCCGAUUGCGAAGGCAGCAGGCCAAGCCAUGACUGACGCUGAUGCACGAAAGCGUGGGGAUCAAACAGGAUUAGAUACCCUAGUAGUC
rnacentral:rRNA from 1 species